rnacentral:rRNA from 1 species
UACGAAGGAUCCUAGCGUUGUCCGGAUUUACUGGGUUUAAAGGGUGCGUAGGCGGAUUUUUAAGUCAGUGGUGAAAGCUUGCAGCUUAACUGUAAAAUUGCCAUUGAAACUGAAAGUCUUGAGUGCGGUUGAGGUCACUGGAAUAUAUCAUGUAGCGGUGAAAUGCUUAGAUAUGAUAUAGAACACCAAUUGCGAAGGCAGCUCGCUACACUAUUAUUGACGCUGAGGCACGAAAGCGUGGGGAUCAAACAGG